UGUUCUUUUUUUCACUUAAAAGAAGAAAAAAAGAAAGAAAUUUCAAAAGAUACUUUAUUAUACAGGCAAAACCUUAGUUCUCCAUCAGAGACUAUUCUGAUUGUUCCAUAUGAUUGUAUUAAGCAUCUCACCUGUAAGAUUUUCUUCUUUUACAAUUUUAGAAGAGCCUGUCCAUACCCUGGAGGGAAAGGAUAAGCAAAAUAAUGUCAUAAGGGGUUGGCUUAAAACCCAAAUCUGCUAUCAUAUAUUUGUCAUCUGAGCAUCAAAGAGUCUCUACUGACUCUUGUUACUGUGGGUUUUUUUGCUUUGGCACCUUGAUAGGUAAAGAACCUGAAAGCGUUGCAACAGUGUGGAGAAGGUACUGGUAUUAUAACAUGAAUAUUCAGUAUUAGAAGUAGACUAAAUACAAUUGUCUUUUGCUCUCCAUGCUGUCAGUGAAACCUGUCCUCACACAACUUCUAUUAAAUAGUUGGUAACACUGAUAAAACAUUAAAGCUACCUAUGCGUUCCCCUCUAAUUAGACUCAAAAGUAACAGUAAAACCCAAUGUGUCAAGUACAGUAACAGCUGAAAAAUGUCAACUUAGCCAAUGUUUGUUUGUUACAUUAUUUGACAAAGACUACUUUGUUUUAUUGAAACAUCUCUACAAACUUCACAAACGUAGUUUGCCAAGUAGCUGAAAGAAGAGUCUGGCAAUAUUACCUGACAAGUGCCAAGCCUUCUCCCUCCUCUGAGUGGCCUGAGAGGCAGCAUCGGCGCCGAGGGCAAAGGGGCCAGAAUCAAAACUCACUGAACAUGGAGAAACACUUCAUUAAGUGAAGGAACAACAACAGUAAGAAAACAGUUUCAGGAAUAUUUUCAGCAGUAAGUAGGAAUUAGACAUUUUGCAAGGAAAGGCUGAACUUUAACCAAGCCUUUAUGUAUAAUUAGAACAGAAAUGAUUAUUCUGUAGCCUCACAGACACCUACUUCAUCUCUUGCUGUGUUUUCAGUCUUUUCUGUUCAACUGACUAAUUAAAAGCCAGUUUUACAGCUGGUAGCUAUAAACAGCAUGACUACGAAAGAGCCAGAUGUGUUCUUUAGUGCUCGAUGCAUCGUGAAUUGUCAGCAGCUAAAUGAGGACUCCUCACUUGGACAGAUUAAAAAGUGUUUGUCUCUUCUGUGAGCUCAGAUUUUACCAGCUUCAAAAAUGCAAAUCUGUGUAUCAUAUCCUACUCUCCCUUCAUGAAGAAUGACCUGAGGGAAUGUGAAAGUAUGCCUGACCUACAUAUGAUCCAGGUACCCAAGGGAAUCUUUUCAUUUUAUCGUAAUUAGGUCAGGAUCCCAUUAAGAAUCCUCUGAUACUUCUGCCUUCUCACAUAAUGUGCAUUAAAAGACUUUUGGUCUGCAUUUUUGGGUAAACAGGCUAUUAUUUGGUAAACUUAGCCUGAAAAGGCGGUGAUGAUGUUUUGGGUUUUUUUGGAUUCAGGACUGGGAAUUUGCUGUGCUAAAGACACACACUGCCAUGAGCAUCUCUGUCUCCAGUUUCAGUUACUGUACUUCAGCAGAAAAUAAAGGAUGCUUUAAAAAAUAAACCAGAAAAAAUAUACGCCUUAAAACAUAAAAUGCUUCUGGCAUCAUUAAUGAAAUGUCACACUGAAGACUAAAUGGGCAUCUAGAUACCUGUGCUAAUGAGCUGGAGAAGAAGUUAUAAAAGUUGAAGAUGAGAUUAAAAUGCAGCCUGUCCUAAGCCGUUGCCAAAUUACCCUUCUUUUAACGUGUUGUUACAAAAUACCCUAACAGCCUCUGCUGAACUUUUCACUUACAUCAGAGGGCCAUGGAGUCCACAUUCAUCCGCCUUCUAACCAAGGCUUACAGCACCUCACGCUUUUGAGCAAGACAACUUGCCAUCGGAGCUGGAGCUCCUUGGGAACCCAGUCCCCUUUCGUGGGGAAGGCAGGCCUGCACCUGCCGCUUGUACUCUGCGGCCCAGGGAGAAGCAGCCUCUGCGUCCAUUUAGACUCAAACUCUUCCCUCUCUUGCCAGACAAACCAAGGCCAAGUACCAAGCCAGCAGCCUAAGCAAAUCCUAUCGGAUCGCACAGCUGGGAGGUUCUUGUCUUGUCUGCACAGGAAAGUCUGCAACAAUUGCAAGAAACACUUUGCUUCUCAGCCAACAUCCUGCCAUCUCCAUUUACCUGCCACUGCUCAUGAAUCCCUUGGAAUUUUGCAUUGCAAAAGCUGGCUCCAAGGAAAACAUUCCCUUGUGCUCCCCAGUUUCCACAAUAGUGUGAGUUUGUGUUUCACAAAAAGCAGUUGGGAUAACAAUUAUGAUGCUGUGAGCAACUCCUGAGGGUAAAAAUGUCAGUUUUGCUGCAUACUCCGCUGUUGCAGCUACCAGCACUGCUGUAUUGCUCCCAUACAAAUACACACCACUUAAUACACCAUACAGAUUUCACCACUUAAUAUCCAAACCUAUGAAAUAACGCCAGACUCUGAGCCCACGGCAGAGUGCCAUGGACCAAACAGCAAAAAGGAGGGAGGGCUGCGGCUCACAACCAAACUGUCCUGUACCCACACUCACACACUGAAGCUGAAUAGAAGACAGAGGAAAGAGGGACGAAUAAGUCUGAUAUAAGAUGGAGGUAUCAGACUUACAUGAGAGAAGGGCAACUGGUGAAAUCAUUCUCCUGGAUGAAGUUGAUUUCAAAGACCUGUGAAUACUUCUUGUUGAUGGGCUGUAGCACCAGGUCUUGAAGUCUGACCAGAGGAGUGGAAGGAGCUGCUCAUAUUGCUGAUUGAAGCCUUUUGAAUUAGAACUGAGAUCUGGUGCUUCUGGAAGCGUGAGAGUCACCACAGGGAAACACAAGCCUUCGCUCAAAUGCCAUGCAAGGAAAAAAAAAAAAAAACAACUGACAGGCCAGUGCUGGAACAGGCCAGGCCCUAAGCACCUGGUAACACCAUCUUACCUGAACAAAUAUCCCUGCAUAGGACACAGAUGCCACACUCUCAUUUGCCUCCCUCCCAGCCUGCACACAUCCAUGGAACAAACCCAGCUUAAACAAGCUUCCUGUGCACAUGCAAGACAGCAGGUCACAGAUGGAUAAAAAUCAGCAAGAGGAGAAUAGACAAUGAGACAAAGUCAAACAGAUUCUCUCUUAUUUUUGUUCACAGUUUCUGUCCCCCAAUCUUCCACUAGUGCGCUCCAAGAUGAAACCGAGACCUGGUUCUGAGGACACUCUGCUCCAGGGCGCCAGUGUGUAUAAGCCUGUGCUGUGUCUGGCUCUCUGCACACCGCUUCCAACACUGUCCCAGAAGGCCAAGCGACCAAGCACCACUAUCUUACCGUCCUACAGCCCAGUACAUGUAACAUAACUUUAACACAUUACUAUGAAAACACUACUCUGGUGGGCUGUGAUGCAGAUCUUACAGUAUUGCAGAUACUUUGAACUGGAAAAAAAAAAAAAAAAAAAAAAAACCUAAACACAAAACAUUAAUAAUGAUACCUUAGAUCUCAUAAAAGACUCAAACCAAUCAUUAGGCAGUUUUGUCAAUCUGUAGAAGGCAGAGGGAGCCCUGAGCAAUACAAGCAGCCAUCCUUACCACUUAAAUGGAGGCCAGGGAUCAAUUCCUCAGAUGUUUGUUGUUAGCAACGUAAAUACUACUGGUCAACAAGUUUUCUAACAAGGUCAGUUAUGUUGCUAAGCUAGUCUUUUUGGAAUAAAAACUGAACCUCUGGGGCUUUGUGGUCAGACUCAGAGCAGAGAUUAAUAUUCAUAAUCUUCCUGUAUCAGCCUCACCAUGCACAAGUAAAGGCUGAAUUAAGCCAGUGUCAAACACAUCCAAAAUCCCUCUGCUGCAAUGCUGGUGACAACAAUGCAAAGCAUCCUUGGAGAAAUUACUCUAAACCACUGUAUGCUGACACAGCCCUAGCAUGGCCUAACCCAAGACAGCUCUUUCACACUCGGAAAGCAGACAGAGUUCCUCUUAGCCUGUCACUUGCCUCCUACAUCUGCAAUUAUCUGUCAUCUUCACUGCUUCCAUUUUAGUGUUACCGGCAAUUUCUCUCCGAGUGUUUGUUGCAACACUAACCCAUUGUUCCCAGCAAAUUUUUUUUUCUUGAUAUAAAGGCAAGGUAAUUCUACUUUUGUUGUUGUAUUGUACAUUCUCAUAACUAUCUAAACACUCAGUAACCAAUAAAGCACUCAUUAGAGGGAAAUUAAUUCUA